UCAACUUUUAUUCCGGGUAACCAGAAUGCGGAAGGUGUCAACGUGUAUAUAAGGCGGUAGCCAACACUUCAUUUCACAGUCGUGCUGGGGUCUUCCACUGCAUCUGUACUGUUGCUUCAACACUAUCUCAGGACGCAUCGCUUUCUUGCUUGUUAAUUACCAACGUAUACCCGAGGAUAAAAUGGGUAGUGAAUUCUAAGGAGCGUCGAUCUACCAAUAACAUGUCCCUGCCAAGUCAAAGACAAUCGAUUCCGCAAAAGCGUAUCUGGUCAAAAUGCGAGUUCGGGCGCCACGGUGAGCUUAGUGUUCAUUUACUAUAAGACGCCCUCGGCUGCAAAACGGCCUUCACACUAGAGAAAAAAAAUAAUCACCAUCCACCAACGCCAUCUAGCGGCCACGAUACGCACCUUUUUGAAAUCCCACCCACUGGAGGAGUGGCUGAAUCACUAUCGAUCACUACGACCAUUUCUAACAAUUAAUAUCGAUUUUAUCGUGCCAGUUCAGAUACAGGUGAAUGUCUCAGUGAUAAUACAUUUGUUUUUGUUUUCUAAACGUUUAUCAAUAACUGGUUUUCAAUACUGUUUAUCUCGCUUGUUGCAAUAACAUACCAGUUUAUCUCGCCGUUGAAAUGGACGACGCUGUCUGGAGUGUUUGUUGCGUUAAUCUAGUCGAUUAAAACCACAAUAAGUGUCCUCAGUGUCGCAUAUUCACUCCGGUUAGUGCCGGGCAAAUCUCUGUGAAUGAGGAUCUCCAAACCGAUCACGAUUUGAUGGCCCUACUUUUCCAAACAAAAAAAAAAUUAUUAUCACAGAGACAUUCACCUGUAUCUGCCACUGGCACGAUAAAAUCGAUAUUAAUUGUUGGAAAUGGUUAUAGGAAUCGAUAGUGAUUCAGCUCCUCCGCCAGUGGGUGGGAUUUCAAAAAAGGUGCAUGCCGUGGCCGCUAGAUGGCGAUGGUGGAUGGUGAUAAUUUUCUGCGAAAUAAAAUUAAAUGGCCCUAGCCGAUGGGCUGAAAUUUUAGGGGGUAAUUUGGCGUUCCGUAGGGAUGAUGGUUAAGGACCCCGUCUAAAGAUUUAUGGAUAUGAGUAUGUUGGUUCAAGUCUAUCUUUUGUCAUGUUAUCAAUGUGAGUAAAAUUUUAGAAAUUUUUUAUUUGAUCUCGAAGUGAAAAUGUUUAAUCCGUCUAUAGAUUUUUUGCCUAAAUGAUUAAUUCAAUUAACUACAAGAACAAGAAGAAAAUUUUUCAUUAACAUGAUAAUAAAACUUAUAUUUUUUUAACAUACUACUUUUUUCUUUUUAACAACUCAAUUGCCAUAUUGCUGUCAAACUAGCACACUUUUCAUUUCAAAAACUUGAUUUCCUUUUGUUUUAUCUUUAUCCUUGUGUUUAUGUAACUAUAACAAGUGUUAAAGUUUUUUGGGGGUGUUUUUCAAAGAGGCUAUAUUUGCGAGCGCCAGAUGGUGUCGUCGUAACCCUUGUUUAUCUAGGGAACGCCUACCCGGCAUAGGAGGUAUUUGAGUUUACAGGCCUUAAGCAUUAAGUAGGCCUUGGUCGUUGGUCGAUUUCGAUCGCCAUUGUACAGUUAAUGGCGUCGCGCAUUGGAAGUAUAUGCGUGUGUGAAUUUCGAUGAGCGUUGUACACCUUGGAGGCCUCGUUGACUCGCCAGUUGAAGAUACGUGUGCACAGUGUUAGUGCUUGGGUGCCUCGAGAGGAAAUUGCAGAACAUAGCCAUACAGUAUGGUGUCCUUCAACAAUGUCCAACCAUGGAAUGAGUCCCAUGUGACUGAGACAAACAACUGAUGCUUUUGCAUUUUGAAUGUCUAAAUUU
rnacentral:lncRNA from 1 species